UACGUAGGGUGCAAGCGUUAUCCGGAAUUACUGGGCGUAAAGGGUGAGUAGGUGGCGAUAUUAGUCGAGUGUUAAAUAUCCGUGCUCAACAUGGAUGCCGCAUUCGAAACGGUAUUGCUAGAGGGUGAGAGAGGUCUGUGGAACUCAUGGUGUAGGGGUGAAAUCCGUUGAUAUCAUGGGGAACACCAAAAGCGAAGGCAACAGACUGGCUCAUUCCUGACACUCAAUCACGAAAGCGUGGGUAGCGAAUGGG
rnacentral:rRNA from 1 species